rnacentral:rRNA from 1 species
GAUGAACGCUGGCGGCGUGCCUAAUACAUGCAAGUCGAGCGAACAGAUAAGGAGCUUGCUCCUUUGACGUUAGCGGCGGACGGGUGAGUAACACGUGGAUAACCUACCUAUAAGACUGGGAUAACUUCGGGAAACCGGAGCUAAUACCGGAUAACAUAUUGAACCGCAUGGUUCAAUAGUGAAUGGCGGCUUUGCUGUCACUUAUAGAUGGAUCCGCGCCGUAUUAGCUAGUUGGUAAGGUAACGGCUUACCAAGGCAACGAUACGUAGCCGACCGGAGAGGGUGAUCGGCCACACUGGAACUGAGACACGGUCCAGACUCCUACGGGAGGCAGCAGUAGGGAAUCUUCCGCAAUGGGCGAAAGCCUGACGGAGCAACGCCGCGUGAGUGAUGAAGGUCUUCGGAUCGUAAAACUCUGUUAUCAGGGAAGAACAAAUGUGUAAGUAACUGUGCACAUCUUGACGGUACCUGCUCAGAAAGCCACGGCUAACUACGUG